UACUGUGGAUUCAUUUAUUUUCGUGGGUACCAAUUUUCGAUGAUUGAGGAAAACUUACAUGUUCGUGGAUAUUUAAUUUCGUGGUUCUAUCAAAGUCGACAUACAAGCCUACGGAAAGUUUGUCAUUCGUGGAACAUUUAAUUUCGUGGUUAACCUGUUCCCACGAAAUCCACGGAAAUUGGUAUCCAAAGAAUAAUAAUGAAUCCACAGUAU
rnacentral:lncRNA from 1 species